rnacentral:rRNA from 1 species
CCUACGGGGGGCAGCAGUGGGGAAUAUUGGACAAUGGGGGCAACCCUGAUCCAGCCAUGCCGCGUGUGUGAAGAAGGCCCUCGGGUUGUAAAGCACUUUCAGUGAGGAAGAACGCCUGGUGGUUAAUACCCAUCAGGAAAGACAUCACUCACAGAAGAAGCACCGGCUAACUCCGUGCCAGCAGCCGCGGUAAUACGGAGGGUGCGAGCGUUAAUCGGAAUUACUGGGCGUAAAGCGCGCGUAGGUGGCUUGAUAAGCCGGUUGUGAAAGCCCCGGGCUCAACCUGGGAACGGCAUCCGGAACUGUCAAGCUAGAGUGCAGGAGAGGAAGGUAGAAUUCCCGGUGUAGCGGUGAAAUGCGUAGAGAUCGGGAGGAAUACCAGUGGCGAAGGCGACCUUCUGGACUGACACUGACACUGAGGUGCGAAAGCGUGGGUAGCAAACAGGAUUAGAUACCCGAGUAGUC